AAAAAAAGAAAAAGGUUCAGUGGCUAAAAUACAUUAAAAUUUCCAAUUGGAGCAAAGAGAGCAAAAAAUAAUUUCUGAAGCAAUUUUUAUAUUACUGAUCUACAAUCAUGUUAAAGCACCUUUCUUCUGUCAUGGUAAUUAGAGUAUUUCUUUAGAUAAGAUUACUUGAGAAAUCUAAAGUGAAAGGAUACUUAAAGCAAUGAACAAAAAAAGCUUUCCAAAUUAUAGCAGGCUUAGCAUUCCUGCCUACAUGCUUUCACAUACACACAUAAAAUCCAAGAAAUAUGCAGCUACUGGCAGUUAUCUUUUUAUGCUAUCUCAACUUAGGAGUUCAUCAUCUGACAAUGCCAAUCCAAAUUCUUUUCCUCU
rnacentral:misc_RNA from 1 species